AGUAGUUAAGAGUUUGGCUGCAAACCAAAAGAGUUAGGUGGUUCAAAUCCACCAGCUGCUC
rnacentral:tRNA from 1 species